GUACCGGGGCUAGCCAUGCACCGAAGCUGAGGAUGUGCAGUUUACUGCACGUGGUAGCGGAGCGUUCUGUAAGUCUGUGAAGGGAGACCCGUGAGGGCUCCUGGAGAUAUCAGAAGUGCGAAUGUUGACAUGAGUAACGAUAAAGGGAGUGAGAGACUCCCUCGCCGAAAGACCAAGGGUUCCUGCUUAAAGUUAAUCUGAGCAGGGUGAGCCGGCCCCUAAGGCGAGGCCGAAAGGCGUAGUCGAUGGGAACCACGUUAAUAUUCGUGGGCCUGGUGGUAGUGACGGAUCUCGUGUGUUGUAUCUCCUUACUGGAUUGGAGGUGCAGCGAAGAGGUUCCAGGAAAUAGCUCCACCGUAUAGACCGUACCCGAAACCGACACAGGUGGUCAGGUAGAGAAUACCAAGGCGCUUGAGAGAACUGCGUUGAAGGAACUCGGCAAAUUGCACGCGUAACUUCGGAAGAAGCGUGACCCUUGUUUACGCAAGUAGAUGAGGGUGGCACAGACCAGGGGGUAGCGACUGUUUAUCAAAAACACAGGGCUCUGCGAAGUCGCAAGACGACGUAUAGGGCCUGACGCCUGCCCGGUGCUGGAAGGUUAAGAGGAGAGGUGCAAGCUUUGAAUCGAAGCCCCAGUAAACGGCGGCCGUAACUAUAACGGUCCUAAGGUAGCGAAAUUCCUUGUCGGGUAAGUUCCGACCUGCACGAAUGGCGUAACGACUUCCCCGCUGUCUCCAACGCAGACUCAGUGAAAUUGAAUUCCCCGUGAAGAUGCGGGGUUCCUGCGGUCAGACGGAAAGACCCCGUGCACCUUUACUAUAGCUUUACACUGGCAUUCGCCAAGGCAUGUGUAGGAUAGGUGGUAGGCUUUGAAGCGUGGGCGCCAGCUCGCGUGGAGCCACCCUUGAAAUACCACCCUUAUCUUCGUGGAUGUCUAACCGCGGCCCGUUAUCCGGGUCCGGGACAGUGUAUGGUGGGUAGUUUGACUGGGGCGGUCGCCUCCGAAAGAGUAACGGAGGCGCGCGAUGGUAGGCUCAGACCGGUCGGAAAUCGGUCGACGAGUGCAAUGGCAUAAGCCUGCCUGACUGCGAGACUGACAAGUCGAGCAGAGACGAAAGUCGGUCAUAGUGAUCCGGUGGUCCCGCGUGGAAGGGCCAUCGCUCAACGGAUAAAAGGUACGCCGGGGAUAACAG
rnacentral:rRNA from 1 species